UAAGCUGAGGCCGACAGGCGUAGGCGAUGGAUAACAGGUUGAUAUUCCUGUACCACCUAUAAUCGUUUUAAUCGAUGGGGGGACGCAGUAGGAUAGGCGAAGCGUGCGAUUGGAUUGCACGUCUAAGCAGUAAGGCUGAGUAUUAGGCAAAUCCGGUACUCGUUAAGGCUGAGCUGUGAUGGGGAGAAGACAUUGUGUCUUCGAGUCGUUGAUUUCACACUGCCGAGAAAAGCCUCUAGAUAGAAAAUAGGUGCCCGUACCGCAAACCGACACAGGUAGUCAAGAUGAGAAUUCUAAGGUGAGCGAGCGAACUCUCGUUAAGGAACUCGGCAAAAUGACCCCGUAACUUCGGGAGAAGGGGUGCUCUUUAGGGUUAACGCCCAGAAGAGCCGCAGUGAAUAGGCCCAAGCGACUGUUUAUCAAAAACACAGGUCUCUGCUAAACCGUAAGGUGAUGUAUAGGGGCUGACGCCUGCCCGGUGCUGGAAGGUUAAGAGGAGUGGUUAGCUUCUGCGAAGCUACGAAUCGAAGCCCCAGUAAACGGCGGCCGUAACUAUAACGGUCCUAAGGUAGCGAAAUUCCUUGUCGGGUAAGUUCCGACCCGCACGAAAGGCGUAACGAUUUGGGCACUGUCUCAACGAGAGACUCGGUGAAAUCAUAGUACCUGUGAAGAUGCAGGUUACCCGCGACAGGACGGAAAGACCCCGUGGAGCUUUACUGUAGCCUGAUAUUGAAAUUCGGCACAGCUUGUACAGGAUAGGUA
rnacentral:rRNA from 1 species